rnacentral:rRNA from 1 species
UACGGAGGGUGCAAGCGUUAUCCGGAUUUACUGGGUUUAAAGGGUGUGUAGGCGGACUUUUAAGUCAGCGGUGAAAUCUCCGGGCUCAACUCGGAAACUGCCAUUGAUACUAUUUGUCUUGAAUAUUGUGGAGGUAAGCGGAAUAUGUCAUGUAGCGGUGAAAUGCUUAGAUAUGACAUAGAACACCAAUUGCGAAGGCAGCUUACUACACAGUUAUUGACGCUGAGGCACGAAAGCGUGGGGAUCAAACAGG